UAGGGAAUAUUGGUCAAUGGGUGAGAGCCUGAACCAGCCAUGCCGCGUGCAGGAAGAAGGCCUUCUGGGUUGUAAACUGCUUUUGCCAGGGGAUAAAAAUACCUUGCGAGGUAAAUUGAAGGUACCUGGUGAAUAAGCCACGGCUAACUACGUGCCAGCAGCCGCGGUAAUACGUAGGUGGCAAGCGUUGUCCGGAUUUAUUGGGUUUAAAGGGUGCGUAGGCGGCCCUGUAAGUCAGUGCUGAAAUAUCCCAGCUUAACUGGGAGGGUGGCAUUGAUACUGCGGGGCUAGAGUACAGAUGAGGUAGGCGGAAUUGACGGUGUAGCGGUGAAAUGCUUAGAUAUCGUCAAGAACACCUAUAGCGAAGGCAGCUUACUAGGCUGUAACUGACGCUGAGGCACGAAAGUGUGGGGGAUCAAACAGGAUUAGAUACCCUGGUAGUCCACACUGUAAACGUUGAUUACUCGCUGUGUGCGAUAUACAGUACG
rnacentral:rRNA from 1 species